AAAAUGUACCGGGGCUAAACAUAUUACCGAAGCUGUGGAUUGUCCUUUGGACAAUGGUAGGAGAGCGUUCUAAGGGCGUUGAAGCAUGAUCGUAAGGACAUGUGGAGCGCUUAGAAGUGAGAAUGCCGGUGUGAGUAGCGAAAGACGGGUGAGAAUCCCGUCCACCGAUUGACUAAGGUUUCCAGAGGAAGGCUCGUCCGCUCUGGGUUAGUCGGGUCCUAAGCUGAGGCCGACAGGCGUAGGCGAUGGAUAACAGGUUGAUAUUCCUGUACCACCUAUAAUCGUUUUA
rnacentral:rRNA from 1 species